rnacentral:rRNA from 1 species
UGGGGAAUAUUGCGCAUUGGGCGAAAGCCUGACGCAGCGACGCCGCGUGAGGGAUGAAGGUUUUCGGAUCGUAAACCUCUGUCAGAAGGGAAGAAACCGCACUGUGCUAAUCAGCAGUGCCUUGACGGUACCUUCAAAGGAAGCACCGGCUAACUCCGUGCCAGCAGCCGCGGUAAUACGGAGGGUGCAAGCGUUAAUCGGAAUUACUGGGCGUAAAGCGCACGUAGGCUGCUUUGUAAGUCAGGGGUGAAAUCCCACGGCUCAACCGUGGAACUGCCUUUGAUACUGCUUAGCUUGAAUCCGGGAGAGGGUGGCGGAAUUCCAGGUGUAGGAGUGAAAUCCGUAGAUAUCUGGAGGAACAUCAGUGGCGAAGGCGGCCACCUGGACCGGUAUUGACGCUGAGGUGCGAAAGCGUGGGGAGCAAACAGG